GAUGAACGCUGGCGGCGUGCCUAAUACAUGCAAGUCGAACGAAACUUCUUUAUCACCGAGUGCUUGCACUCACCGAUAAAGAGUUGAGUGGCGAACGGGUGAGUAACACGUGGGCAACCUGCCCAAAAGAGGGGGAUAACACUUGGAAACAGGUGCUAAUACCGCAUAACCAUAGUUACCGCAUGGUAACUAUGUAAAAGGUGGCUAUACUACCGCUUUUGGAUGGGCCCGCGGCGCAUUAGCUAGUUGGUAGGGUAAAGGCUUACCAAGGCAAUGAUGCGUAGCCGAACUGAGAGGUUGAUCGGCCACAUUGGAACUGAGACACGGCCCAAACUCCUACGGGAGGCAGCAGUAGGGAAUCUUCCACAAUGGGCGAAAGCCUGAUGGAGCAACGCCGCGUGGGUGAAGAAGGUCUUCGGAUCGUAAAACCCUGUUGUUAGAGAAGAAAGUGCGUGAGAGUAACUGUUCACGUUUCGACGGUAUCUAACCAGAAAGCCACUGCUAACUACGUG
rnacentral:rRNA from 1 species